GGACGGAGUAAUACCGGAUACCCCCGGCGUGCGCAUGGCGCCCCGGGCUAAAGCCCCCGACGGGAGGGGAUGGCUCCGCGGCCCAUCAGGUAGACGGCGGGGUGACGGCCCACCGUGCCGACACGGGUAGCCGGGUUGAGAGACCGACCGGCCAGAUUGGGACUGAGACACGGCCCAGACUCCUACGGGAGGCAGCAGUGGGGAAUCUUGCGCAAUGGGGGCAACCCUGACGCAGCGACGCCGCGUGCGGGACGGAGGCCUUCGGGUCGUAAACCGCUUUCAGCAGGGAAGAGACGAGACUGUACCUGCAGAAGAAGCCCCGGCUAACUACGUGCCAGCAGCCGCGGUAAUACGUAGGGGGCGAGCGUUAUCCGGAUUCAUUGGGCGUAAAGCGCGCGUAGGCGGCCCGGCAGGCCGGGGGUCGAAGCGGGGGGCUCAACCCCCCGAAGCCCCCGGAACCUCCGCGGCUUGGGUCCGGUAGGGGAGGGUGGAACACCCGGUGUAGCGGUGGAAUGCGCAGAUAUCGGGUGGAACACCGGUGGCGAAGGCGGCCCUCUGGGCCGAGACCGACGCUGAGGCGCGAAAGCGUGGGGAGCAAACAGGAUUA
rnacentral:rRNA from 1 species